rnacentral:rRNA from 1 species
CAAUAGCGUAUAUUAAAGUUGUUGCAGUUAAAAAGCUCGUAGUUGGAUUUGUGGUUCGUCCCGCCGGCUGGGUCAUUGACUUUUGCUGUGCUGGUCGUCCAUCCUUGGGUGGAAUCUGUGUGGCAUUAGGUUGUCGCGCAGGGGAUGCCCAUCGUUUACUGUGAAAAAAUUAGAGUGUUCAAAGCAGGCUUAUGCCGUUGAAUAUAUUAGCAUGGAAUAAUGAUAUAGGACCUUGGUACUAUUUUGUUGGUUUGCGCACUGAGGUAAUGAUUAAUAGGGACAGUUGGGGGUACUCGUAUUCCAUUGUAAGAGGUGAAAUUCUUGGAUUUUUGGAAGACGAACUACUGCGAAAGCAUUUACCAAGGAUGUUUUCAUUAA